UACGGGGGGAGCAAGCGUUGUUCGGAUUUACUGGGCGUAAAGGGCGCGUAGGCGGCCAUCGCAAGUCAAUUGUGAAAUCUCCGGGCUUAACUCGGAACGGCCAAGUGAAACUGUCAUGCUAGAGUGCAGAAGGGGCAAUCGGAAUUCUUGGUGUAGCGGUGAAAUGCGUAGAUAUCAAGAGGAACACCUGAGGUGAAGACGGGUUGCUGGGCUGACACUGACGCUGAGGCGCGAAAGCCAGGGGAGCAAACGGG
rnacentral:rRNA from 1 species